rnacentral:rRNA from 1 species
UCAAAGAUUUAUCGCUCAGAGAUGGACUCGCGUCUGAUUAGAUAGUUGGUGAGGUAACGGCCCACCAAGUCGACGAUCAGUAGCCGGACUGAGAGGUUGACCGGCCACAUUGGGACUGAGACACGGCCCAGACUCCUACGGGAGGCAGCAGUGGGGAAUAUUGCACAAUGGGGGGAACCCUGAUGGAGCGAUGCCGCGUGGAGGAAGAAGGUUUUCGGAUUGUAAACUCCUGUCGAAGAGGACGAUAAUGACGGUACUCUUCAAGAAAGCUCCGGCUAACUACGUGCCAGCAGCCGCGGUAAUACGUAGGGAGCGAGCGUUGUCCGGAAUUACUGGGUGUAAAGGGAGCGUAGGCGGGAUGGCAAGUCAGAUGUGAAAACUAUGGGCUCAACUCAUAGACUGCAUUUGAAACUGUUGUUCUUGAGUGAGGUAGAGGUAAGCGGAAUUCCUGGUGUAGCGGUGAAAUGCGUAGAGAUCAGGAGGAACAUCGGUGGCGAAGGCGGCUUACUGGGCCUUUACUGACGCUGAGGCUCGAAAGCGUGGGGAGCAGACAGGAUUAGAUACCCUGGUAGUCCACGCCGUAAACGAUGAUUACUAGGUGUGGGGGGACUGACCCCUUCCGUGCC